GACCAAGCUGGCCUCAAGCUCACAGGGAUUAGUCUACCUCUGACUUUGAGUAGUGAGAUCAAGGGCAACUCCUGCCUAAGUGUUUCUUGUAGCAGGUUCAGAGUUUCUAAUCUUACAUUUCAGAUGUUGAUCCAUUUUGAGAUGAUGUUUAUACAAGAGGAGAGAUAGAAGUCCAAGAAUGAUAUCUGGAAAUUGUCCUUUCUCCAAGAAGCAAACGGACCCAUCUUUGAAGGAACCUAAGCAAGACUGACCCUUUUUGAUACAAAGAAAACACAACAGAAAUCUGAGACUCUGAAGAAAGGCCCUGACUGUUUAUCAUUGCUAGUGAAUUUUAUGUGGCUUAAAAUGCCCAGAAAACCCUGACUUUAGAAUUUAACACCCCAUCAAAUCAUUCCAGUCUUCUUCUUAUUUACAAACCCAAGAUUUGAAAAAUUGUAAGCUGAAAGUGGACCUGUGCUUUAUGACUGAGACAUUUUCAGAUGUGUGUAGAAAGAUUCCACUGGCUGCAAAUGCCCUGAGCUCCUGGCCCAUAUAUGCUGUAUUCUGUGCUCUGGUUAUUAGAGAAAGGCUUUUAGUGUUAACAGCACUGCUCUGGAAGCUCCUGCCUGGAAAGGAGGCUCUCCUUAGGUGUGAGGGGAAUUCUGACUUAGCCAACAGGAAAGGGAAGCGUGUGAAGUUUACUUUUCUUCUUCCUGAGAGAAAGCAUCUGACAAAGCAAAUUCAGGACAUAAAAGGACUGAUUUGGCUCACAGCUCAAAGGUACAUUGCGGCAGAAAGUCAUGGUGACUGGAAUGUGGGGCUUAGUGGUCUCACUGUGUCACAGUCAAGAAGCAGAGAGACAGAUGAUAGGGCCUGCUUGUCUUCCCACCUCAGUUAA
rnacentral:lncRNA from 1 species